CUUAACAAAAGCACCUCGCUUACACCGAACUAAUGUCUGUUAAAACCUGACUAUUUUGA
rnacentral:tRNA from 1 species